GUGGGGAAUAUUGCACAAUGGAGGGAACUCUGAUGCAGCAACGCCGCGUGAAGGAAGAAGGUUUUCGGAUCGUAAACUUCUAUCAGCAGGGAAGAAAACAAUGACAGUACCUGACUAAGAAGCCCCGGCUAACUACGUGCCAGCAGCCGCGGUAAUACGUAGGGGGCAAGCGUUAUCCGGAUUUACUGGGUGUAAAGGGUGCGUAGGUGGCAUGAUAAGUUAGAUGUGAAAACCCAAGGCUCAACCUUGGGAUUGCAUCUAAAACUGUCAAGCUAGAGUGCAGGAGAGGAAAGCGGAAUUCCUAGUGUAGCGGUGAAAUGCGUAGAUAUUAGGAGGAACACCAGUAGCGAAGGCGGCUUUCUGGACUGUAACUGACACUGAGGCACGAAAGCGUGGGUAGCGAACAGGAUUAGAUACCCCAGUAGUCC
rnacentral:rRNA from 1 species